CCGUGCUAAGCGGGGGGGCGGCGGUCCCCUGAACCUGAAAUCCGCCAUAGCAGGGCCUAAUCCCCGCCGGAGGUUUGACGACCGGCGAUGCCCGUGCAGGCCUCGUUGACAGCCCGGCUCUCGCGCAACGAACGCCUCCCGAACCCCGCCAGGUCCGGAAGGAAGCAACGGUAGGGAAUGCGCUCGUGUGCCGCGGGAAAUCCGAGCUUGAGGGGUUCUGCCCGGCCAACAUCGUUUGGGAGCGUGAAUCGAAUCGCGGGUGCACGG
rnacentral:SRP_RNA from 1 species